rnacentral:rRNA from 1 species
UAAGGAAUAUUGGUCAAUGGACGCAAGUCUGAACCAGCCAUGCCGCGUGAAGGAUGAAGGUCCUCUGGAUUGUAAACUUCUUUUAUCUGGGACGAAAACGGGAUUUUUAUCUCAAUUGACGGUACCAGAGGAAUAAGCACCGGCUAACUCCGUGCCAGCAGCCGCGGUAAUACGGAGGGUGCGAGCGUUAUCCGGAUUUACUGGGUUUAAAGGGUGCGUAGGUGGGCAGGUAAGUCAGUGGUGAAAUCUCCGGGCUUAACCCGGAAACUGCCGUUGAUACUAUUUGUCUUGAAUAUUGUGGAGGUAAGCGGAAUAUGUCAUGUAGCGGUGAAAUGCUUAGAUAUGACAUAGAACACCAAUUGCGAAGGCAGCUUACUACACAAUCAUUGACGCUGAGGCACGAAAGCGUGGGGAUCAAACA